ACGGAAGGCAGCAGUGGGGAAUAUUGCACAAUGGGGGAAACCCUGAUGCAGCGACGCCGCGUGAAGGAUGAAGUAUUUCGGUAUGUAAACUUCUAUCAGCAAGGAAGAAAAAAGACGGUACUUGACUAAGAAGCCCCGGCUAAAUACGUGCCAGCAGCCGCGGUAAUACGUAUGGGGCAAGCGUUAUCCGGAUUUACUGGGUGUAAAGGGAGCGUAGACGGCAAGACAAGUCAGAAGUGAAAGCCUGGGGCUCAACCCCGGAACUGCUUUUGAAACUGUCUAGCUAGAGUGCAGGAGAGGUAAGUGGAAUUCCUAGUGUAGCGGUGAAAUGCGUAGAUAUUAGGAGGAACACCAGUGGCGAAGGCGGCUUACUGGACUGUAACUGACGUUGAGGCUCGAAAGCGUGGGGAGCAAACAGGAUUAGAUACCCUGGUA
rnacentral:rRNA from 2 species